rnacentral:rRNA from 1 species
AUUGAACGCUGGCGGCAUGCCUAACACAUGCAAGUCGAACGGCAGCACAGUAAAGACUUCGGUCUUUAUGGGUGGCGAGUGGCGGACGGGUGAGUAACGCGUAGGAAUCUGUCCUGGAGAGUGGGAUAACCCGAGGAAACUCGGGCUAAUACCGCAUGAUAUCGAGAGAUCAAAGGCAGGGGACCCUUCGGGGCCUUGCGCUCUAGGUUGAGCCUACGUCGGGUUGGCUAGUUGGUGGGGUAAAGGCCUACCAAGGCGACGAUCCGUAGCUGGUCUGAGAGGAUGACCAGCCACACGGGGACUGCGACACGGCCCAGACUCCUACGGGAGGCAGCAGUGGGGAAUCUUGGACAAUGGGGGAAACCCUGAUCCAGCGAUGCCGCGUGUGUGAAGAAGGCCUUCGGGUUGUAAAGCACUUUAGGUGGGGAAGAAAGGUAAUGAGUGAAUAACUGAUUGCUUUGACGGUACCCGCAGAAUAAGCACCGGCUAACUCUGUGCCAGCCGCCGCAGUAA